ACAUUUUGACCUCGGAUCAGGUAGGGAUACCCGCUGAACUUAAGCAUAUCAAUAAGCGGAGGA
rnacentral:rRNA from 1 species